CGCUUCCUGCGGUGUUCGACGCCGACCUGGAAACCUUUCGACCCUAAAUCAUUACCUCGGGGUCGUGCUCUGUCGGUCGCAUUUGCGCAGGGCCGUUGCGACGGUAAGCCUGUUGCGAUCACGGCUGACCCCACCUGUUGCUCUGGUUCGAGAGCGACGGCUCGGUGACGGCACAGGCGGGAAGCGC
rnacentral:other from 2 species